rnacentral:rRNA from 1 species
CUACGGGUCGCUCCAGUGAGGAAUAUUGCACAAUGGGGGAAACCCUGAUGCAGCAACGCCGCGUGGAGGAUGACGCAUUUCGGUGUGUAAACUCCUUUUAUAUGUCAAGAAAAUGACGGUAGCAUAUGAAUAAGCACCGGCUAACUCCGUGCCAGCAGCCGCGGUAAUACGGAGGGUGCAAGCGUUAUUCGGAAUCACUGGGCGUAAAGGACGCGUAGGCGGGUUUGCAAGUCAGGUGUGAAAUCCUAUGGCUCAACCAUAGAACUGCACUUGAAACUGCGAACCUAGAGUAUGGAAGGGGCAGAUGGAAUUAGUGGUGUAGGGGUAAAAUCCGUAGAUAUCACUAGGAAUACCAAAAGCGAAGGCGAUCUGCUGGGACAUUACUGACGCUAAGGCGUGAAAGCGUGGGGAGCAAACAGGAUUAGAUACCCGCGUAGUC